UGCGUAGGCGGGUAUAUAAGUCAGUGGUGAAAGCUCCGGGCUUAACUUGGAAACUGCCAUUGAUACUGUAUAUCUUGAAUGUCGUAGAGGUUAGCGGAAUGUUGCAUGUAGCGGUGAAAUGCUUAGAUAUGUUACAGAACACCAAUUGCGAAGGCAGCUAACUAUGCGAUGAUUGACGCUGAGGCACGAAAGCGUGGGGAGCAAACAGGAUUAGAUACCCUGGUAGUCCACGCCCUAAACGAUGAUUACUCGAUGUUGGCGAUACACUGUCAGCGUCUUAGCGAAAGCGUUAAGUAAUCCACCUGGGGAGUACGCUCGCAAGAGUGAA
rnacentral:rRNA from 1 species